AACCGAAUAGGGGAGCCGGAGGGAAACCGAGUCUUAAUUGGGCGUUAAGUUGCAGGGUAUAGACCCGAAACCCGGUGAUCUAGCCAUGGGCAGGUUGAAGGUUGGGUAACACUAACUGGAGGACCGAACCGACUAAUGUUGAAAAAUUAGCGGAUGACCUGUGGCUGGGGGUGAAAGGCCAAUCAAACCGGGAGAUAGCUGGUUCUCCCCGAAAGCUAUUUAGGUAGCGCCUCGUGAAUUCAUCUCCGGGGGUAGAGCACUGUUUCGGCUAGGGGGCCAUCCCGGCUUACCAACCCGAUGCAAACUGCGAAUACCGGAGAAUGUUAUCACGGGAGACACACGGCGGGUGCUAACGUCCGUCGUGAAGAGGGAAACAACCCAGACCGCCAGCUAAGGUCCCAAAGUCAUGGUUAAGUGGGAAACGAUGUGGGAAGGCCCAGACAGCCAGGAUGUUGGCUUAGAAGCAGCCAUCAUUUAAAGAAAGCGUAAUAGCUCACUGGUCGAGUCGGCCUGCGCGGAAGAUGUAACGGGGCUAAACCAUGCACCGAAGCUGCGGCAGCGAACGUAUCACCCAAGACAACUUUACGGAGUUGACGAUUGACGGAGCGAAGCGACGUCAAAGCGUUCAUUAAAGUCGAGUUGGCUUAGGGAUACGUUCGUUGGGUAGGGGAGCGUUCUGUAAGCCUGUGAAGGUGGCCUGUGAGGGUUGCUGGAGGUAUCAGAAGUGCGAAUGCUGACAUAAGUAACGAUAAAGCGGGUGAAAAGCCCGCUCGCCGGAAGACCAAGGGUUCCUGUCCAACGUUAAUCGGGGCAGGGUGAGUCGACCCCUAAGGCGAGGCCGAAAGGCGUAGUCGAUGGGAAACGGGUUAAUAUUCCCGUACUUGGUGUUACUGCGAAGGGGGGACGGAGAAGGCUAUGUUGGCCGGGCGACGGUUGUCCCGGUUUAAGCGUGUAGGUGUGUGUUCCAGGUAAAUCCGGUUCACUUUAACACUGAGGCGUGACGACGAGGCACUACGGUGCUGAAGCAACAAAUGCCCUGCUUCCAGGAAAAGCCUCUAAGCAUCAGGUAACAUCAAAUCGUACCCCAAACCGACACAGGUGGUCAGGUAGAGAAUACCAAGGCGCUUGAGAGAACUCGGGUGAAGGAACUAGGCAAAAUGGUGCCGUAACUUCGGGAGAAGGCACGCUGACACGUAGGUGAAGUGAUUUACUCACGGAGCUGAAGUCAGUCGAAGAUACCAGCUGGCUGCAACUGUUUAUUAAAAACACAGCACUGUGCAAACACGAAAGUGGACGUAUACGGUGUGACGCCUGCCCGGUGCCGGAAGGUUAAUUGAUGGGGUCAGCGCAAGCGAAGCUCCUGAUCGAAGCCCCGGUAAACGGCGGCCGUAACUAUAACGGUCCUAAGGUAGCGAAAUUCCUUGUCGGGUAAGUUCCGACCUGCACGAAUGGCGUAAUGAUGGCCAGGCUGUCUCCACCCGAGACUCAGUGAAAUUGAACUCGCUGUGAAGAUGCAGUGUACCCGCGGCAAGACGGAAAGACCCCGUGAACCUUUACUAUAGCUUGACACUGAACAUUGAGCCUUGAUGUGUAGGAUAGGUGGGAGGCUUUGAAGCGUGGACGCCAGUCUGCGUGGAGCCGACCUUGAAAUACCACCCUUUAAUGUUUGAUGUUCUAACGUGGACCCGU
rnacentral:rRNA from 1 species